ACUGGGGGAUACUGGGAGCGAUACUGGGGAGCGAUACUGGGGAGCGAUACUGGGAGCGAUACUGGGGAUACUGGGAGCGAUACUGGGGGCGAUACUGGGAGCGAUACUGGGGGAUACUGGGGGAUACUGGGAGCGAUACCGGGGGAUACUGGGGGAUACUGGGAGCGAUACCGGGAGAUACUGGGAGCGAUACUGGGGGAUACUGGGGGAUAUACUGGGGGGCACUGAGCCAGACUGGGAGCAGUACUGGGGAUACUGGGGGAUACUGGUCCAGACUGGGAGCGAUACUGGGGAUACUGGGCCAGACUGGGCCAGGAAGUGGGGAGGACUGGGCCAUACUGGGAUAAACUGGGAGUGAUGCUGGGCGAUACUGAGGCAAACUGGGGGUGCUGUGAGUGAUACUGGGGGAUACUGGUAUAUACUGGGAGUGAUGCUAGGGGAUGCUGGGACAAACUGGGAGCACUAGGAACACCGGAGGGCACACUGGGAUGGACUGGGACAUACUGGGGGACACUGGGAACGCUGGGGAAGGACACUGGGUGGUACUGGGAGGGACUGGGGGGAACUGGGGAGUACUGGGAGGCACUGGGGCUGUACUGGGCUGUACUGGGAGGGACUGGAGGGGUGGAACGCGCUGUUCCCGCCUCUGCCGCCUCUCAUUGGUCGAAGCUCCCGCCCGUCACCGCCGGCAGCCAAUCAGCGCCUCGGGACGGGGCCUAGGGGCGGGGACUGGAGGCGGCGCCAUUUUGCUCACUUUUAGCCUACAAUUCCCGUCAUGCCCCGCGGCCCCAUGGUGGCCUAAUGGAGCCGAGCCUACAGCUCCCGUCAGGCACCGCGCCCCCCAGAGCCCCCUUUCCCGGCUCCAUGUGCCCCAUAAGCGUCCCCCAGACCCUCCAGGACCCCUUAGCGCCCCCUCAGAGCCCACUCGGGACCCCCAACUGCCCCCAACCACAGAGCUGUCUCCUAACGCCGCUUCCGGGACUACAGCUCCUAUCAUGCACCGCGGUAGCUGGAGAGCGCCAUUACCGCUGAGCCUUCAGCUCCCGUCAUGCUUCGCGGCCCAUAGAGUCUUAUGGCGCCCGGGCCUUCAUCUCCCAUCAUCCUCCGCGGCCCCCGUUCCGCCCCUACAAGUCCCGUCGUGUUCCGCGCCCCAGAGAGACCCGCCAGAGCCCCGCAAGUGCCCGCAGGGGCUUUCCGAGCCCAUGGACUCCCCGUCACCUCCUGAAGCAGGAUAA
rnacentral:lncRNA from 13 species